CCUCCUUUCUAAGGAGCACCACGAGAAACACUCCAAUUGGUGGGGUGUGAGCCGUGAGGGGUUCUCGUCUGUAGUGGACGAGGGCCGGGUGCACAACAACAGGCAAUCGCCAGACACACUAUUGGGCCCUGAGACAACACUCGGCCGACUUCGGUUGAAGUGGUGUCCCUCCAUCUUGGUGGUGGGGUGUGGUGUUUGAGUAUU
rnacentral:misc_RNA from 1 species